rnacentral:lncRNA from 1 species
CCUUGGGCUGGCUCCCGUGCCAAAUCCCAAYGUGCCGGUGAUAUUUCUUCACUGUCAUGUAGCAGCUCAGUGCAAGCUCAAGAUCUGGUUGUGAACAAGAAAAAAAUCAUCGAGAGAACGGAAAAUUCACACCUAAACACCAUAAAACUGCAAGAUUGGCUCUCAUGAAGUUUUACUGAAGUGAAUUCCUCUUAAUCCAUCUAAUAUAAAAUUUCAUAGGCGUGAUUUUUACAGUUGCAAUACUACUGGAAUAAGAGAAACGGCGUUUCUUACACAAAAGCUGCUUUCUUGUGCAGCAAAGGUGCCUGUCGCCUGCUAUCUCAGCAGCACAGGGGUCCGCGUCCCCGGGCUGGCCAGGGCUCCGGCCAAGCCGCCCGGGAGGUGCCGGCACCGGUACCGGUACCGGUCCUCGCCUCCCCGCAGCCGGCCCGGCCAGGUGCUUCGCACGAGGCCUCGUGGCACCGCUCCUCCCUGCAGGGCGCAAAACUUCGUUUUUCCACUGUGUCUUCACUWCUUUCCCUCUUCUUGAGUUCACAGAAGGGGAAGGGAAGCCUGGGAAAGGAAGUGAACCCGAGAGAAAAACUCUCUCAUUGCUUUCCUUUUUACCAGAGGUGAAGAGUGAAGAAAAAAAAUCAAUUUUGUUCUUUGCCUGCUUUUAAAAAUGAGAGAAAUAAGUCACUCUUGCAUCUAUUUUCCCAUAUUUAAGGCUCCUAUUGUCUGUYUGACCAGUGCGGGAAGGGGACGGGAGAACUAUAGAAGUGAGACUGGAAAUGCAAAACGUGACUGACUGCAGCAUUUCAGCAAGGAAGCGGCGGGGUUGGGCCCUGGUCAAAGGUAGGAAGGCUAGCGAAAAGAUCAGUUUUCAGCGCAGAUCCGUACCAAGCACAAGCGGGUGGUUUCCCCAAGCUCUGACGACGAGCAGCUGCGGCAGCGAGCGGAGCGGGAUGAACAGAGGAGCCAUUCAGCGCCGCAACUGUCGUCCGGCAACAAGGACCCUCUGUUCUUGUGCGUGUGUCAGGUGGCACCCGCUGCCCCCGGCUUCACCUGGGCCUUAGCACCCCUCAUUGCCGAAGAAAAGAAAAGGGGAAAGAGGAAAGAGGAAAGAAAAGCUGCCUAGGCUUAGUCAGUUUGGUAUUAAAUACACACAGCUUGCAGGAACGAAACUGCAGCAGUCAUCUUCAUCUCCGAACUGUAGCUAGCGUUUUUCAAAUAACUGGCUAAUUUGCUAAAAUUUUCUAUGUCUUCCAUGAAGAAAAAUGUUAUAUCAUCACAUGUCUUUCUAAAUUGCAUGAUUUGGAUCUUAUUCCUGUUCUCAUGGAACAUGCAGGGGUGAACCGUGCUCCCCUCUGUAAACCAACUUAAAUGCAAAUGAUAAAUUUAAAAAAUAAAAAGAAAGAAAAGGAAGCA